CUGCCCCGUCGCCAUGCGCCGCCGCCCCAAGCCCCGUCGCCACGCGCCGCCGCCCCUGCCCCACCCCGCCGCCACGCGCCACCGCCCCUGCCUCGCCCCGCCGCCACGCGCCCCCGCCCCGCACCCAUCUUCUCCAAGCUCCGGUCGCCGUCGCGCCCCCAUCUCUCCCUGCUCCACACCACCACGCCAUCUCCUCCUGGUGGGGCUCCGUCAUCGGAGCGUCCUAUCCGUUCGGCGCCACCACCCCAGGCCGUUCGACUCCUUCACCGCAGGCCGUUCGACUCCUUCACCGCAGGCCGUUCAUCGCUGCAGCAUCCUCGAUUCCGACGGGGGUUAGGCGCAACGAUGAUGGCGACUCGCUCCUGAACGCGACGGCGACGUUGACCGGAAGUGGGGAUUCGUGAGCUGAUAGCGACGGCGACAAGCUCUUCCUCCUCUAGCGGCCUCCUCUGCUCCACCAAGGAGACCGUCAGCAUGCGUUGCCGCACUCGUGGGCUGGAUCCGAUCCUAGAGUUUAGUUCAUCUACACGCCUGAUCUGCAGUUCAGGUAGUCAGCUAGCUGACGAGCCAUGUUAAUUUCAGAAGUGGGCAUGUUUUCUUUCAAAAUAGUCAGUUCAAGUAGUCAGCUAGCUGAAGAUUGCUGUCCCCAUUCCACCAUUGUUCAUCCUCUGUGUUCUUUCCCUGCACCGAUGUGGUGAGUACGGUCUUUUGUUAUCCCACACUUGCUAUUUGUUACAGAUAAUAUUAUGCAUUUAUUGUGCUACUUGCUACGUACACACGUAUUUUUUUUAGCAAACCUCUCUAAUGCAUUGAUCUCUCUCUCCACGAUUAUGGAUACAGCUGGUUGAUUUUCUAUAGCAAAAUAUUUCCUGUGAUAAUGGAUACAGAUAAUUUAAUUUAUGCAAAACACUAAGUACAUGGAACAAAAAUGUGGACGGUCGGAAUAGGAGGAAACAGGAAGUUUGCAGAAACAGUACACUCUUAGGAAAAAACUGAUUAUACAAAUUAAAAAAAAAACGGUCAGGAAGUUCAUAGGGUGUGCUUUGUGGAAAUCCAGUACAUGACAUGCUUAUUUUUUUCAGGCCUUGAUGAUACGCUGUACCCGGUGAAGAACAUCAUGUCAGGGUUCAGACUGAUGGAGAGUGAGAGGUACGAUUUGGGUGCAUUCAGAGCAAGAACAACAACGGCAGGAUAGUUUUCAGAGAAGAUAGGUACGUGAUGGAGGCGUACAGUAAAACAGCAGCGGCAGGAUAGUUUUCAGAUAAGAUAGGUACUUGAUGGAGGCGUACAAUAAAUAGCAGCGGUAGGAUAGUUUUCAGAGAAUAGACCAACAAAAAAGUCCGUCCAUGGCGUGCUUUAGAGCGACUACUCCAAAAAAGAGCCACCAGAAUGUGUUGCCCUCAGUCCUCUCUCGACAAAUCGAGCAGUGCAGGUUCUCCGGUGCGCUAAGUAUUGCCGGCGGCGAUGCCUGCAUGGCUCAUUUGAGAGAUGCUGCUUUUGUGUGCGAGAUGGCGGCUGCUGACGUCUGCACCUUGGGCUCCCGUAUGCGUCCCAUACCCCAGCAGGUGCACACGUCCCUGCCCACUGUUCCUCUGUGUUGUUCUUUUGACCUUGAACUAUAUAGGAUACAACUUUUAUUUGAUUUUCAGUUCACCUUUUGCGUUCUUUUCAGUUCAUAAACUUUAGUGUAUUGAUGAAAUCCUGAAAUAUCAUAUGUGCACUCUACGUAUUUGUUUUUAUGCCUACGAACAAUUCUGCACUUGUGCUGUUAUGCAUCAGUUUUGGUCACCAAAAAAUGGAGGUUUAGAUAUGACAAAAUGGAUUAGAGCACCAUGCCCUCACCCAGAAGUUUGAAAAAAUCAUUGCUUUCAGUUCUAGUAAAAUGUUUUUGUUUAAAACUGGACUGCUGAUUCUUUCUGUAAUGGGCUUUAUAUAUUAUCUUUCCUAUGUCUUACUGUAGGAAAAUAUGGUGGCCUUCAGCAAGUAAUCUUUCUCUAACGGGCAUCCUAUGCCUGCGCCACCGAGAGCCUGAUCCUACUUGCUGCGUGCUCACGGCGACCACAAGCAUCGUAAGAAAAAGGCUCGUUGAGCUGCACUUGUUUGUUCUGUCGCUCUUCCCCUGCUCCUCAAGCGCCACUGCUGUCUCGUGCUGACCUCGAUGCGCCGACCGUCGUCCAGGCUGCUGCUGGUUGGUGCUGCAUAAACAAAUAGAGUUAAAGAACAUAGAUGAGAGGAAUUCAGUUCAGGAAGAUUAAAGGGUAAUGUUUAGAGAUGAGGCUGAGGGAUCUGGUUCAACUCCCAUCACCCUUGUUUGGUUUUAUAUGAACCUGUAUCUAUAUUUAUGUUUCCGGUUAGAGAUGAGGCUGAGGGAUCCCUCAACCUCUACACAUCUUCACGAAAAAAGUUGGAACUUGCAUCUAUAUUUAUGUUUCCAGUUACCUUCGGUUAAUUGUACUGAACUUGGCUAAUUGUAGCUUACUAGUACUAAACUUUUGUGCCUGUGCUACCUUUUGUAAAGUUCAUCUUGUCUAGUAUAUAUUACUGCUGUCGUUGAUUGCAGAUUUUGUUUUUGGGAAUUCCACUGUUGAUCCCAAGCUCCACGGGCAUUUCAUGCAUUUGCUGGUCUGUGUGUGCAAUUAUUCUAUUAUGGAGAUGUCAGUUCAUUACAGCGCUGCUCCGGCUUUUUUCUCCUACAACAAGACUUGCGUAUGGCUACAGGUUCAUAUCAAGGAAGUUUAGAAAAAUUGCAGCGCCUUUCAGUUCAUUGCAUGAAAAAAGCAAAGUUCAUCUUGUCUAGUAGAGGUUGCUGCUGGUGUCCGUUCAUUGUCGAUUUCGUUUUGGGAAAUUUGCAAAACUUACUGCUGAGAACGGAUGCAGUUUGAUCUUGUGCAAGUUGGAAAUUCCCUGAUGCUGAGUGUGCCAGUACAACCCUAACGCCACACAGGAAACAGUGUGUGUACAUUUUUGGAUUUAAUUUUGGAAGGUUCACACAUCCAUAUUAGAGAGAUUCAUCGGACAUAAUUUUGUAAGUUCAGAAAAAGCAAUUGCUCAGUACAUCACAGCAGCUCUUCGAUGCAAAAAGGAUAGCUCUUCUCAAGUCAGCAGCUAACCGAACUGGUUAAGUUUUCAGAAAUUCAUUCUAGUGUGAAACGUUGGUGAGAUUCUGAUUAAGACUUUUGUCCAUUCCAGCAACUUUAGGGUAGCUCAGUCAAAUAUGCCAGCUGUGCUGUAAACAGCUUCAGUUGAGAAAUCAGCAAGCGCCAUGCUCAGUCCAACCCCGUGGCUUCAGGGUGGCCGAGUUCGUCGCAACCAUCAGUUUGGAGACCUGUGUCACUGCCCGUGUUGCUACCAUGGCCACCUGCAUCACUGCGUGCUCCGUCAACAGCCUCCUGCACAAGGAAAAGCAACAGAAGUAGAGGCUUCUGAGAUGCUCUGUUCUAGCGAGGUGGCUGAUUAUGUUUGUCAGUUUGUAAUACUUUGGCCGCAGUUUACUUAUGUAUCUUUUUCUGGAUGGAGCACGACCAGAGCUUAUG